rnacentral:rRNA from 1 species
UACGUAGGGGGCAAGCGUUGUCCGGAAUUAUUGGGCGUAAAGGGCGCGUAGGCGGCCUGAUAAGUAGGGGGUGAAAUCCUGCGGCUUAACCGCAGGGCUGCCUUCUAAACUGUCAGGCUAGAGCACAGUAGAGGCAGGUGGAAUUCCCGGUGUAGCGGUGGAAUGCGUAGAGAUCCGGAAGAACACCGGUGGCGAAGGCGGCCUGCUGGGACAGUGCUGACGCUGAGGCGCGACAGCGUGGGGAGCAAACAGG